UUACAUUUGAGUGAGUGGCGAACUGGUGAGUAACACGUGGGAAACCUGCCCAGAAGCGGGGGAUAACACCUGGAAACAGAUGCUAAUACCGCAUAACAACUUGGACCGCAUGGUCCGAGCUUGAAAGAUGGCUUCGGCUAUCACUUUUGGAUGGUCCCGCGGCGUAUUAGCUAGAUGGUGGGGUAACGGCUCACCAUGGCAAUGAUACGUAGCCGACCUGAGAGGGUAAUCGGCCACAUUGGGACUGAGACACGGCCCAAACUCCUACGGGAGGCAGCAGUAGGGAAUCUUCCACAAUGGACGAAAGUCUGAUGGAGCAACGCCGCGUGAGUGAAGAAGGGUUUCGGCUCGUAAAACUCUGUUGUUAAAGAAGAACAUAUCUGAGAGUAACUGUUCAGGUAUUGACGGUAUUUAACCAGAAAGCCACGGCUAACUACGUGCCAGCAGCCGCGGUAAUACGUAGGUGGCAAGCGUUGUCCGGAUUUAUUGGGCGUAAAGCGAGCGCAGGCGGUUUUUUAAGUCUGAUGUGAAAGCCUUCGGCUCAACCGAAGAAGUGCAUCGGAAACUGGGAAACUUGAGUGCAGAAGAGGACAGUGGAACUCCAUGUGUAGCGGUGAAAUGCGUAGAUAUAUGGAAGAACACCAGUGGCGAAGGCGGCUGUCUGGUCUGUAACUGACGCUGAGGCUCGAAAGUAUGGGUAGCAAACAGGAUUAGAUACCCUGGUAGUCCAUACCGUAAACGAUGAAUGCUAAGUGUUGGAGGGUUUCCGCCCUUCAGUGCUGCAGCUAACGCAUUAAGCAUUCCGCCUGGGGAGUACGGCCGCAAGGCUGAAACUCAAAGGAAUUGACGGGGGCCCGCACAAGCGGUGGAGCAUGUGGUUUAAUUCGAAGCUACGCGAAGAACCUUACCAGGUCUUGACAUACUAUGCAAAUCUAAGAGAUUAGACGUUCCCUUCGGGGACAUGGAUACAGGUGGUGCAUGGUUGUCGUCAGCUCGUGUCGUGAGAUGUUGGGUUAAGUCCCGCAACGAGCGCAACCCUUAUUAUCAGUUGCCAGCAUUAAGUUGGGCACUCUGGUGAGACUGCCGGUGACAAACCGGAGGAAGGUGGGGAUGACGUCAAAUCAUCAUGCCCCUUAUGACCUGGGCUACACACGUGCUACAAUGGAUGGUACAACGAGUUGCGAACUCGCGAGAGUAAGCUAAUCUCUUAAAGCCAUUCUCAGUUCGGAUUGUAGGCUGCAACUCGCCUACAUGAAGUCGGAA
rnacentral:rRNA from 2 species